rnacentral:rRNA from 1 species
AUUGAACGCUAGCGGAAUGCUUUACACAUGCAAGUCGCACGAGUGGCGGACGGGUGAGUAAUAUAUCGGAACGUGCCCAGUAGCGGGUGAUAACUACUCUAAAGAGUGGCUAAUACCGCAUACUAUAUGAGCGGCCGAUAUGGGAUUAGCUAGUUGGUGUGGUAAAGGCUAACCAAGGCAACGAUGCGUAGCUGGCUUGAGAGGAAGACCAGCCACACUGGGACUGAGACACGGCCCAGACUCCUACGGGAGGCAGCAGUGGGGAAUUUUGGACAAUGGGGGAAACCCUGAUCGAGCCAUCCCGCGUGUAUGAGAAGGCCUUCGGGUUGUAAAGUACUUUUGGUAGAGAAGCGGUAUCUGAAGAAUAAGCAACGGCUAACUACGUGCCAGCAGCCGCGGUAAUUC